rnacentral:tRNA from 2 species
AGAGCCGUCGACUAACUGGCAAGGUCGCCGGGUUUUCACCCCGGAAGGUGCCGGUUCGAAUCCGGUCGGCUCUA